AGGCCGUGAUGUGGACACAUUCUCAUCAUGUCUUUAUAUCUCUCCCACGCGUCGUUGAGAGAUUCUACAUCUUUUUAUCGAAAUCCGUUGAUUUGAGCUCUCAGCAU